rnacentral:misc_RNA from 1 species
GUGAGCUUGAAGGGGCAUUUGUUCUUGGUGGAUAGAGAGGGAAUAAAGCCUGAGUACAUCCGUCUUCAACCCAAUGGCUUCCGCUUCUAUCGUCAAUACCCUGAUUUCCCCUCUCACCUCCUCCGGCUCCAAAUCACGAGUCCUCGUCUUGAAUUCUCCGCCCAAUCCUCUGGUACGCCUUCCAUCUCUUAACUCGAAGAAGAGCAAUUUGUAUGGGACACUCUCUGUUACUUGCAAGGCGGUAUCAGUUAAGCCACAGACUGAGAUUGAAGACCUUAACAUCGCUUCAGAUGUCACUCAGCUGGUAGGUAAGACUCCCAUGGUCUACCUGAACAAUAUCGUCAAGGGGUGUGUGGCAAACGUUGCUGCUAAGCUUGAAAUGAUGGAACCAUGUUGUAGUGUCAAGGACAGGAUCGGAUAUAGUAUGAUUACUGAUGCUGAGCAGAAAGGGCUUAUUACACCAGGAAAGAGUACUUUGGUUGAACCUACCAGUGGAAACACGGGAAUUGGUCUUGCAUUUAUUGCUGCUUCAAAGGGAUACAAACUAAUAUUGGCAAUGCCAGCUUCGAUGAGUUUGGAGAGGAGAGUUCUUUUAAAAGCAUUUGGAGCCGAAGUUGUAUUAACGAAUCCAGCAAAAGGCAUGAAGGGAGCAGUUGAGAAAGCUGAAGAGAUUUUAAAAAAGACACCUAAUGCUUAUAUGCUUCAUCAAUUUGACAAUCCUGCUAACCCUAAGGUACACUAUGAUACAACCGGUCCAGAGAUAUGGGAAGACACUAAUGGCAAGUUGGAUAUUUUAGUUGCAGGAAUUGGAACAGGUGGCACAAUUUCUGGUGUAGGCCGGUUUUUGAAAGAGAAAAAUCCAAAUAUUAAGGUUAUUGGUAUUGAACCUACUGCAAGUAACGUAAUUAAUGGAGGAAAGCCUGGACCUCAUAAAAUUCAAGGAAUUGGAGCUGGUUUUAUACCCAAUAAUUUGGACGAAAGUGUAGUUGAUGAAGUCAUCGAGAUAUCCGAUGAAGAAGCUAUUGAGACGGCAAAACAAUUGGCAAUGCAGGAAGGCUUACUGGUGGGCAUUUCUUCUGGAGCAACAGCAGCUGCUGCAUUGAAAGUGGCAAAAAGACCUGAGAAUGCUGGAAAGCUUAUUGCGGUUAUAUUCGCCAGCUUUGGCGAACGAUACCUAUCCUCGGUCCUUUUCCAUUCAAUCCGAGAAGAAUGUGAAAACAUGCAACAUGAGCCAUGAAGUACAUUAUUUGUUUUAAUGGUCAUGGGCAUAGUUAUUUGGUGUUUACGUACGUUGUGAAGUGUUGUUUUAAAAGGUAGGCUUGCUUUUGGUGCAACUUGAAUAUUGUGUUAUUCUUGUUGGAGAGAACAGUCCUCUCAAAUUGACUGCAGUCUAUGCAUCCAACAUUUUGGUCUUCCUUGUUUCUUGAGUUAACAUUUUGUAAAUUGAACCUUUAUUUUUAAAUAACG